rnacentral:rRNA from 1 species
UGGGUAACCUGCCUCAAAGAGGGGAAUAGCCUCCCGAAAGGGAGAUUAAUACCGCAUAAUAUGUUUAAGUCGCAUGACUUUAACAUCAAAGGAUUUUCUUUUAGAAAUUCCACUUUGAGAUGGACCCGCGGCGCAUUAGCUAGUUGGUGAGGUAACGGCUCACCAAGGCAACGAUGCGUAGCCGACCUGAGAGGGUGAUCGGCCACAUUGGAAUUGAGACACGGUCCAGACUCGUUAGGNG